GUCCUUCUCCAAAGACCCUCUCAGUUCCACCGUCUCCUGUUGCGACGCAGAGUGAUAAUAAGUGAAGUACGCCAUGAACGAUCGCUUCCGGAUCUGUAUCGAGGUUUGAAGAACAAGAACGAUCGCUUCCGGAUCUGUAUCGAGGCUUUGAAGAACAACCCUAAUCCCUAUAGUACGAGGAUUUGGAUCUGUGUAUCGAGGCUUUGCCUCCCUGUGUAUGUAUAUAUAUAAGGAACAACCCUAAUCCCUCAAGGACAAGGAUUUGGUCAUUUGGAAAUGACCCAGAGUCCGAACUCAACAAGGAUUAGGAAAG
rnacentral:lncRNA from 1 species